UGAUUAUGUCAUGAACAACUGAUAAAGCAGCAUCUGUUUGUAGAUCUAUCUAUCUACUAUUUAUUACUAAAUUAUUUUAUUUACAUUUCUAAAUGUUGCUGCCUUUUCCAGUUCUCCCUCCCAUGUUCUUCACCCCAUUCCCCCUUCUCUUUGCUUCUGAGAGGGUGCUCCCCCACUACUCACCCCCACCAGCAUUCCCUUUUCCUGGGGCAUCAAGUUUCUACAAGAUUAGGCUCAUUCUCUCUCACUGAGACCAGAAAAGGCCAUCCUCUGCUACAUACAUGCCUGGGGCCACGGACCAGUCCAUUUAUGAUCUUUGGUUGGUGGCUUAUCUGUGAGAGCUCUGAGGGGGUUCAGAUUAGUUAAUACUGUUUGUUCUUCCUAUAGGGUUGCCAUCCCCUUCAGCUCCUUCAA
rnacentral:lncRNA from 1 species